UUUCCAUUUUUUUUUUUUUUUUUUUGUAGUAAAUAUAUUUAAAUAAUAUUAUUUGGUAUAUAUAAUUCUACUAGUUGCUACAUCGUGCAAUCUAUAUUUCCCAAUUUACGAUAUUCAGAAUCAGAUUGCAAAAUUCAGUAGAAUUUCGUUUACAACAUGCAUUAUUCGACAAUGUCCUCUCUAUUUAUAUCUUUUUUUUCUUUUCUAUCGAAUGAAAUUUAGUAAUGUAGAAUAGUCGUGGAUUAAAGAUUUUUGUAGGUCUAGCGAAGAAAUUGCAUGAUAUGCAUGUAUAAAUUUAUUAUUUUCCUUUUGGUAACCGAGAUUCUACUGUGCUGAUUAAAAUAAAUUUUUUAUGAAAUUAUUUAUAGCCAAUAGUUGAACUGAUAUAGAAAUGAGGUUAUGCAUAUUGUUUCGAUUAAAAUCGUUAUUCGGUUGAUUGGAGGAAGAUUUUCCAGUAAAUGGCAAAAUGAAUUCAUUUGUACACGUAAUAUUUUCUCGUACUUAUUGUAACAUGCAAAGCAUUUUAGCUACUUGAUAUAUUGAUUACAAGACAUGCAUGGCCGUUCUCCAAAUUAUUUUGAAAAUUUGUGCGGUAAGAAAAUAAGGAUAUAAUAAUUUUCAUUAAUAAAGAAAAGACUUACUACGAUAAACAAAAUACACAUUCGUUAGCAUCUACAAAAGAUAACAAGUGCAUUUGUGAAACAAAAAUGUUUAUAAAAAUUGAACAAAGUUUUAGAAUAUUUAUUGUAUAUACGUUUUAUGACCAGUUGAGAUUUCUCUUACAAUAUGUAGAAGACAAUUGAACUACUUUCUUAAGGAUUGCAUUGAAUCUGAAGUCUAUACUUUGUCACUAAAUUCUUUAUCAGGAACUAGGCACUGGCGAUGUAUGUUAGAUCUAAGGAAUCGUUUAUAUUGAUUAUUACAUGAAUAAAGAAAAUCAUCGCGUGUACUUUGACUUCACUGACUACGAGUCAAACUUACAGAAAAAUGUUUACUCGAUCUUUAUUUCAAAUAUCCGAUGAAAUUAUUUUAUCAAUCUACUCUAUAACUGAAUUUCUCUUCUUACCAUAGACUUCAAAUAUAUUUAAGAGACUCUGAGAAUUUAGAUUUUAAUCGUUCGUAAAAAGCAAUUACAAGUUCGGAAGAAAAUAGGUUUUUUUUUUUCAGUUGAACAUAUUUUUAAUACGAGUUAUUCGCAUUCCUUUAAAUGUUUAUUAUUUAAUUAGAAAAGUAAUGCCAGGAUGAUUAAUUACCACUGGAGGAUUGAUAUUUACAAAUAUAUAUUUCAAAGGAUUAAUAACCCGCAUGGUAUGCUAUACCUAAAAAUGUAUAAAACAUAAAAUCAAUAUUCUACUUCUACAUCGUGCAUGGAGGUUUGCAUUUCCAGUUAAUAAUAAAUGCCAGAUUUUAUUAUUCUAAACAAUGUCCACGUGUGAAAGUGUUAAUGAAAGUUUCAAUCCAGUUUGACACACUUUCUGCUAUGGAAAUCCAAACAACUAUGCACACCCAAAUAAAUGCUUCUAAAUGAUUACCAUAGUAAAA